rnacentral:rRNA from 1 species
UAAUAGCCCACCAAGGCGAAAGAUCGAGUAUCCAGGCCUGAGAGGGGCGCACGCGACACACUGGAACUGAAAACAACGGUCCAGACGCCUACGGGAGGGCAGCAGUGGGGAAUUUUGCGCAAUGGGGGAAACCCUCACGCAGCAACGCCGCGUGCGAGGAUGAAGCCCCUUGGGGCGUAAACUCCUUUCGACUGGGAAAAUAAUGAUGGUACCAGUGGAAGAAGCACCGGCUAACUCUGUGCCAGCAGCCGCGGUAAUACAGAGGGUGCGAGCGUUGUUCGGAAUUAUUGGGCGUAAAGAGCGCGUAGGCGGUGUUGUAAGUCACCUGUGAAACCUCUAGGCUUAACCUAGAGCCUGCAGGCGAAACUGCCGUGCUGGAGGGUGGGAGAGGUGCGUGGAAUUCUCGGUGUAGCGGUGAAAUG